rnacentral:lncRNA from 1 species
GACAACUCGUUCCUUUUGGGAACUGUGUUUUGCAUUUUUGAAGAGUCUCUACCUAAUGAGUUAAGGUGUAUUAGGACACCAAUAGAGAUUCAAAUCUAAGUUCGCUUGGAUAACUGGAGAUCAGGUAAGAGCAUGAAAUUCCCAAGGGGAAGGUGUUAGGCACCCCUCAGGAUCCACUAGUAUGGUUCCCGGCCAGACAUUUAUUGUGAAUUUAGCAAAUAGACAAGUAUUGGCUCAAAUAUUUGGGGAUUUAAGUUUAAGCACACAAAUGAAAGAAUAAUUAAAAGAAGAGUUUCAAAAAGUUUGCAAAUAAAGGGAAAGGGAAUCCUAGGUUUAUAUUUAAUAUGGAUCACCCCAUACAAUGUCCGGUAAACAUUCCUCAAUACACGUGACAUUAUCGCGUAGUCAUCAUAUCCAUAUCUACCUUUUCCACCCCAUUAAGGUAUUAAAAUGCAGAUCAAUCCCGAUUACUAUUGCAUGCUAUUACCCGUCUCAUUCCUAUCACUCCCGAAGACACUUAGGACUACUAUUCCUAGACGGGGAGGAUAUUAGGCUGAUUGGUUUCAAAGGAUAAAAAUCUAAGAUGACAUACAAAAACACAUAGUGCAUGUUGGGGAAGCACAUAAACAGAAAAAGGCUCAUAUACACCUCCUUUAACAAAAGCACAUAACUAGCAUGCCUUGUAUAUCUUUUUAGUUCUGAUUAAAGUACUAAAUAUGAGGAAAGUUAAUCAUUGAGGCAGAUUAGUUUAU